CACGUAGGGUGCAAGCGUUGUCCGGAUUCAUUGGGCGUAAAGGGCUAGUAGGCGGCUUAGCAAGUCGGGUGUGAAAACUUCAGGCUCAACCUGGAGCGGCCAUCCGAUACUGCUAUGGCUAGAGUCCGGUAGGGGACCACGGAAUUCCUGGUGUAGCGGUGAAAUGCGCAGAUAUCGGGAGGAACACCGGUGGCGAAGGCGGGUCUCUGGGCAAUAACUGACGCUGAGGCGCGAAAGCCAGGGGAGCAAACGGG
rnacentral:rRNA from 1 species